GGGUCUAGUGUUGCUGUGGGUCUCGUGUUGCUGUGGGUCUCGUGUUGCUGUGGGUCUAGUGUUGCUGUGGGUCUAGUGUUGCUGUGGGUCUAGUGUUGCUGUGGGUCUAGUGUUGCUGUGGGUCUAGUGUUGCUGUGGGUCUCGUGUUGCUGUGGGUCUAGUGUUGCUGUGGGUCUAGUGUUGCUGUGGGUCUAGUGUUGCUGUGGGUCUCGUGUUGCUGUGGGUCUAGUGUUGCUGUGGGUCUAGUGUUGCUGUGGGUCUAGUGUUGCUGUGGGUGUCGCAUUACUGUGGGUCUAGUGUUGCUGUGGGUCUAGUGUGUCUAUGGGUCUAGUGUUGCUGUGGGUCUAGUGUUGCUGUGGGUCUAGUGUUGCUGUGGGUCUAGUGUUGCUGUGGGUCUAGUGUGGCUGUGGGUCUAGUGUGGCUGUGGGUCUAGUGUGGCUGUGUGGCUGUGGGUCUAGUGAUGCUGUGGGUCUAGUGUGUCUAUGGGUCUGGUGUUGCCGUGGGUCUAGUGUUGCUGUGGGUCUAGUGUUGCUGUGGGUCUAGUGUGGCUGUGGGUCUAGUGUGGCUGUGGGUCUAGUGUGGCUGUGGGUCUAGUGUGGCUGUGUGUCUAGUGUGGCUGUGUGUCUAGUGUGGCUGUGGGUCUAGUGUGGCUGUGUGGCUGUGGGUCUAGUGUGGCUGUGGGUCUAGUGUGGCUGUGGGUCUAGUGUGGCUGUGUUGCUGUGGGUCUAGUGUGGCUGUGGGUCUAGUGUGGCUGUGUGGCUAACGGUUUAGUGUGGCUGUGGGUCUAGUGUGUCUGUGUGGCUGUGGGUCUCGUGUGGCUGUGUUGCUGUGGGUCUCGUGUGGCUGUGUUGCUGUGGGUCUAGUGUGGCUGUGGGUCUCGUGUGGCUAUGUGGCUGUGGGUCUAGUGUUGCUGUGGGUCUAGUGUGUCUAUGGGUCUGGUGUUGCUGUGGGUCUAGUGUGGCUGUGGGUCUAGUGUGGCUGUGGGUCUAGUGUGACUGUGGGUCUAGUGUAGCUGUGUGGCUGUGGGUCUAGUGUGGUUGUGUGUCUAGUGUCUUUAUGUGUCUAGUGUGGCUGUGGGUCUAGUGUGGCUGUGGAUUUAGUGUGGCUGUGGGUCUAAUGUGUGGUCUAUGGGUCUAUUGUGGCUGUGGGUCUAGUGUGGCUCUGGGUCUAGUGUGGCUGUGUGGCUGUGGGUCUAGUGUGUCUAUGGGUCUAUUGUGGCUGUGGGUCUAGUGUGGCUGUGGGUCUAGUGUGGCUGUGGGUCUAGUGUUGCUGUGGGUCUAGUGUGGCUGUGGGUCUAGUGUGUCUAUGGGUCUAGUGUGGCUGUGGGUCUAGUGUGGCUGUGGGUCUAGUGUGGCUGUGUUGCUGUGGGUCUAGUGUGUCUGUGUGGCUGUGUGGCUGUGGGAUCAGUGUGGCUGUGUGGCUGUGGGUUUAGUGUGGCUGCGGGUCUAGUGUGGCUGUGGGUUUAGUGUUGCUGUGG
ensembl:lncRNA